GAGGCAGUCCAGCCGCAGGGGCCACCCGAACAGUCUCUCCUCCUCACAGAAGCCUGCUUCUCACCUGGGGCGGGUGGGUUCUGCACCACCCUCCCACCCUCCUUCCUCCGUGUGGACGAUAGAGCCACAUCCAGCACCACGGACAGCUCCCGGGCGCCUUCAUCUCCUCGUCCUCCAGGCAGCACAAGCCAUUGUGGAAUCUCCACCAGGUGUACAGAACGGUGCCUCUGCGUCCUGCCACUCAGGACCUCUCAAGUCCCCGAUGUGAUGGCUCCUCAGCAUGAUCAGGAGUGAGCGUAAUUCAGACCUAUUUAGAUCCGUCAGCCCACGGACCAGGGGGACCUUGAGCAGGACAGUCUUUUGUCUCCAAGCAGUCAUUCCCUGUUAUACAAGCAAGAGUCAGGAGGAGGAAUGGUUUUGGCAUCAUCCCCCACAGACAGCAAUGGGGCCUUUAGGCCUGGAAGGAAGGACCAGGCUGCGGCUGGCAUAUGGAGGUUGAGCCCUGGGCACGGGGCAUCAGCUUCACCCGGCUGGGGAUGCCUUCUGCUGGGUUUGUCCAUCUGGCACCAGCUGGCUUCCCAGCACCGCCCCCACAACCAACCAGACUCCUCCUUCUGCUGUUGCCAUGGCAAUUGGCUGCCAUAUUGUACCUCAGAGCACUAGCUCCUAUCUGGAUUUUCCCGCGGGGUUCCUAGAGGGUGGGAGAUGGGUCUCCAGGGAUUUAUCCCUUUCCCCUGAUAUCUAUCCAAUAAAAAUUCAUAAUAACAUAUGA
ensembl:lncRNA MIR9-1HG MIR9-1 host gene